GCCCAGAUGGCUCAGUUGGUUGAGCAUCUGACUCUUGGUUUUUGGUUUAGAUCAUGAUCUCAGGGUUGUGGGAUCAAGCCCUGCCUUGGGCU
rnacentral:tRNA from 1 species